GCAGUCGUGGCCUAAUGGUUAGAGAGUCGCACUUGUAACCCGAAGGUUGUGGGUUUGAGUCUCAGGCCGGCAGGG